GUGGCACUCCAGCAGCACACAUACUAAAAUUGGAGUGAUACAGAGACGAUUAGCAUGGUCUCUGAGGAGGAUGAUAUGCAAGUUCAUGAAGCUUCCAUAUGUUG
ensembl:snRNA U6 U6 spliceosomal RNA